GACUGCGUAGCUCAGUCGGCAAAGCAUUGGACUAGUAUCCCAAAGGUCGCGGGUUCGAUUCCCACCGUGGCUU
rnacentral:tRNA from 1 species